rnacentral:rRNA from 1 species
UUUUAUGAGAGUUUGAUCCUGGCUCAGGACGAACGCUGGCGGCGUGCCUAAGGUAUGCAAGUCGAACGCGGCACCCUCGCAAGAGGGUGUUAGCGUGGCGAACGGGUGAGUAACGCGUGGGAAUCUACCUCCAAGUCGGGAAUAACUCCGAGAAAUCGGAGACAAUAACCGAUGGUCCCGCAAGGGUAAAGAUUUAUUGCUUGGAGAUGAGCCCGCGUCCCAUCAGCUAGUUGGUAGGGUAAUGGCCUACCAAGGCGAUGACGGGUAGGGGGCGUGAGAGCGUGUUCCCCCACAAGGGCACUGAGACAAGGGCCCUACACCUACGGGUGGCAGCAAUCGGGAAUCUUGCACAAUGGACGAAAGUCUGAUGCAGCGACGCCGCGUGAAUGAUGAAGGUCGAAAGAUUGUAAAGUUCUUAAUUUGCCGCAAGGCAGAGGAUUAAGCACCGGCUAACUACGUGCCAGCAGCAGCGGUAAUACGUAGGGUGCGAGCGUUGUCCGGAUUUACUGGGCGUAAAGAGUGCGUAGGUAUUUUGGAAAGUCCCGGCUUAAAGCCCGCGGCUCAACCGUGGAAUUCGUCGGGAUACUGUCAAAAUUGAGGAAGAUAGGGGGUGGCGGAACAUCACAAGGAGGGGUGAAAUCCAAUGAUCUGUGAUGGAACACCGAAGGCGAAGGCAGCCACCUGGGUCUUUCCUGACACUGAGGCACGAAAGCUAGGGGAGUGAAACGGAUUAGAUUGUCCGGCCACCACUCGUAAAAUAAAGUGGCGAAGGGUGUCCCCCUCAACCGCGAGGCUGAGGUGCGCAUCUAGCUAUAUCGGUGAACAUCUUUAGGAUAGUCUUCUAAAGACAACCCCGAGGGAAGUCGCUUGGUCAAUUUUGACCAUGACGACCCCGUAGAGACUAUGGAGAUCGGAAGACAGAAGGGGGUAAAAUUCUACUAUGGUAGAAGAAAACUUUCCUCCUUUGUCGGUUCGAAGUAGAGCAAUUAUUUUAGGUUCUCUCUUAGGAGAUGGGUCGCUUGCAGUUAACCAGCAUUACGUAAAUGCGCGGUUUUCUUUUCGCCAUUCAAUAAAGCAAAAGGAAUAUUUCCUUUGGAAAGCUAGGGAAUUGGCUGAAAUUGCAAGCGAAAAACAUACGUGGGAGCAAGGAACCAAUAGCAUUGGGAGUGAUGGUUGGGGAGGAAAAAAGCUGCGCUUUCAAAGUAAAGCCCUUCCUCAGCUAACCGAAAUCUUCCGUCUUAUCCACAAAGGUGGUAAGAAAACGAUUCGCAGGAAGUGGUUAAACAUGCUGACACCUCUUUCUUUGGCGGUUUGGUGGAUGGAUGAUGGCUCAUUGGUUGGUGAUACCAAGCAAGGAGUCUUUUCCACCGACAGCUUCUCUUUAGAAGAAGUCAAGAUACUAGACCGUUACAUGAAGAAGGUUUGGCACAUAACCACAAAGAUAGGAAGAACAAAAGAAGGUUAUUUCCGUUUGGGAAUACGUUCGACCGAAGAACUUAAAAAGUUCAUGCGGAUUGUUCUUCCCCACAUUCCUGUAGAAGAGAUGCUUUACAAAGUUUUAUUGCUUUACCGAGAUUCUGAGCUCCAGCAACGCUGGAUAUCUGAGGUUGUCGAAAAGACCAGUUUUUCCCAAGAGAUUGUCGAAAGACAAAUCGAAAAAAAGAAGGAAAAAUGGAAAUAUUUCAGAUAAUGAUAUAGUCCAAAAUCACACGAUUUGACCCGUGUAAUCCUAGCCGUAAACGAUGAGAACUAGCUAUUUCCGCAAGGGAGUGGCGCAAGCUAACGCGUUAAGUUCUCCGCCUAGGGAGUACGGCCGCAAGGUUGAAACUCAAAGGAAUUGACGGGGUCCCGCACAAGCGGUGGAGCGCGUGGUUUAAUUCGAUGAUAAGCGAAGGACCUUACCAAGGUUUGACAUGCAAGUUUUAGGGAGCCGAAAGGCAACCGACCCGCAAGGGAGCUUGCACAGGUGUUGCAUGGCUGUCGUCAGCUCGUGGCGUGAGCUGUAUGGUUAAGUCCCAUAACGAGCGCAACCCCUAUCGUUAGUUAAAAAUGUCUAACGAGACUGCCUCGGCAACGGGGAGGAAGGUGGGGACGACGUCAAGUCAGCAUGGCCCUUAUGCCUUGGGCGACACACACGCUACAAUGGCGGCUACAACGGGUUGCAAGCCGGUAACGGCAAGCUAAUCCCUGAAAAGCCGUCCCAGUUCGGAUUGAGGUCUGAAACUCGACCUCAUGAAGUCGGAAUCGCUAGUAAUGGCGGGUCAGCCAGACCGCCGUGAAUACGUUCUCGGGACUUGUACACACCGCCCAUCAAAUGGGAAAAGUUGGAGCUCGCCGAAGCUGCUUUUUUGUGGCUAAGCGGGAAUCAGCGAUUAACAUUAAGUUGUAAGCUUGUUUCACAACAAGUUCAGUUGCAACCUCCGGUAGUGAUGCCGGAGACAAACUCGGCUAUAUGCGGGGAUACCUGUGUAUCCUGGUGAUAUAGUCCGCGCCCUGUAGCGAUAUAGGGAAUAACGUGAACAAGGUAGCCGUAGGGGAAUCUGCGGCUGGAUCACCUCCUUU